GACGAACGCUGGCGGCGUGCUUAACACAUGCAAGUCGAACGGAAAGGCCCCUUUGGGGGUACUCGAGUGGCGAACGGGUGAGUAACACGUGAGUAACCUGCCCUUGACUUCGGGAUAACUUCAGGAAACUGGGGCUAAUACCGGAUAGGAAUCCUUGCUGCAUGGUGGGGGUUGGAAAGCUUCGGCGGUUUUGGAUGGACUCGCGGCUUAUCAGCUUGUUGGUGGGGUAGUGGCUUACCAAGGCUUUGACGGGUAGCCGGCCUGAGAGGGCGACCGGCCACAUUGGGACUGAGAUACGGCCCAGACUCCUACGGGAGGCAGCAGUGGGAAAUAUUGCACAAUGGGCGGAAGCCUGAUGCAGCAACGCCGCGUGCGGGAUGACGGCCUUCGGGUUGUAAACCGCUUUCAGCAGGGGCGAAGCUUGUGGUGACGGUACCUGCAGAAGAAGCACCGGCUAACUACGUG
rnacentral:rRNA from 1 species